rnacentral:rRNA from 1 species
UACGUAGGGGGCAAGCGUUGUCCGGAAUCAUUGGGCGUAAAGAGCGUGUAGGCGGCCCGAUAAGUCCGCUGUGAAAGUCCAGGGCUCAACCCUGGAAUGCCGGUGGAUACUGUCGGGCUCGAAUCCGGAAGAGGUGAGUGGAAUUCCUGGUGUAGCGGUGAAAUGCGCAGAUAUCAGGAGGAACACCAAUGGCGAAGGCAGCUCACU